AAAAAGAGAGGCAACACCCAAGAAGCCUGUGUGCUGAAGGACGAGUGUUAAGGAGGAAACAGUUUCAGGAGGGGGCAGGAGGAGAGAGAAUCACCUUGGGAAAAAGUAGCACCCAGAGGUUUUGUGCUAGGCGGCAUUGUGCUAGGUAACGUUCACACAUCUAGCAAGAGACAGUCCCUGGCCCGGAGAGCAUGCUAUCGAAAUAAAGACCACGAAAGGUGACUUUGGUCUUGGAGGUCAAAAGCAACCAAGUCUAGUCAGCUGCUUUGAUUUGUCUGUUUCCAGUGGACAGAAUUGAAAAGUGGAGACAUGACAUUCAGAGAACAAAAUUAUUAUUUUUUCAAAAAAAUCAUGAGGAUGUUUGUCCACCCAGCUGCACCUGAGCAGCUUAAAUUUCUACAUGGAUUUGUGGAUGGAUUCGUUUUAAAGGAAUUGUAAAGUGCACAGAGUUAUUGUACAAACCAGGUCUAAUAAGCAUGUAAUUAACUACCCUGGAGUUAAAUGUAAUUGCUCUCUAAACACACCACCAUUUUUACACAUCCCUGAGGUCACCUGGAAACUAGAUUUGAAGCUGUCAACUGGUUUAAAGAUUAGUCACCAUGUAAGCUGAGGUUUCUAACUUUCCCAUAAGGCUCCAAUUUAGGAGACAGAAAUAGCUCAAGAGUUGCCCUCUGAUUUACC